rnacentral:rRNA from 1 species
GAUGCACGCUGGCGGCGUGCCUAAUACAUGCAAGUCGAGCGAACAGACGAGGAGCUUGCUCCUCUGACGUUAGCGGCGGACGGGUGAGUAACACGUGGAUAACCUACCUAUAAGACUGGGAUAACUUCGGGAAACCGGAGCUAAUACCGGAUAAUAUAUUGAACCGCAUGGUUCAAUAGUGAAAGACGGUUUUGCUGUCACUUAUAGAUGGAUCCGCGCCGCAUUAGCUAGUUGGUAAGGUAACGGCUUACCAAGGCAACGAUGCGUAGCCGACCUGAGAGGGUGAUCGGCCACACUGGAACUGAGACACGGUCCAGACUCCUGCGGGAGGCAGCAGUAGGGAAUCUUCCGCAAUGGGCGAAAGCUUGACGGAGCAACGCCGCGUGAGUGAUGAAGGUCUUCGGAUCGUAAAACUCUGUUAUUAGGGAAGAACAAAUGUGUAAGUAACUAUGCACGUCUUGACGGUACCUAAUCAGAAAGCCACGGCUAACUACGUG